GAACAUAAGCCAUAUAUCAAAUAGAUAAGCAAAAUCAUCUUGUCACACUAUUCUUGGAAGGGAGAAGAUUUCUUUUUUACUGUAGGGAGGUAGAUGGCUGCCUGCCCCCAAGACAAGAAGCAGUUGAGUGAACUUGAAAGCCUUUGGCUUUGACCCAGUCUCUAGCUUUAAUCUUGCUCUGUUGUGAUCUUAGAUGUCUGGGUUUUCUGUGUUCUAGCUCCUAAAAUGGGCUGGGGGGUUCUGAUAACUGAAUGGGUCAGGUUUCUUCAUUCAUUCCUGUAGAAAGCCUUCCCCCAACGCCUCAUGGUCUCUCUGUGAGUGCCGUCUUCCUCCCCACACACCGGCUUUGGAACCUAUGCGAUCCCCAUCUCUGUGUGGACAACAGUGUACUCUGACAGUUACAGAACCUUGCAGUGUUUGGCGAAGAAUCAAGCUGUAAAUAAGGAAUCUGCAAACAUCCAGAGCUUGCUGUAUUAUAUUUUAUCCUGUGGUCCCUGUGACAGCUGAGCUCGGUUGUCAACUUGAGUACAUCCGAAAUCAACUAAGAAAACCAGAGCCGCUGGGAACCCCUAUGAGGGGUUUUCUUAACCAGGUUACUUGAAGCAGGAAGAUCCACCCUACCUAAAUCUGGGCCAUGCUUUCUGGUGGCCACGGAAGUAAAAGGGCGUGGAAGGAAGGGGACUUUGUUUUCUCCCUGCUUGCUUUCACGCUUGCUAGCGAAGUCGUUCAUCCUGUCGCUGCAGCUUGUACUAAGUCCUAACUUCUUCAGGAUUCUGACAUAGACCAAAGGCAAGUAGCUCUCCUGAAAUCCUCCAGGACUGCAGCACCAGUUGGGACUGCCAAGAUAUCUAUCAAGUAUGGGAUUCUUAGCCUUUCUGCUUUGAGGCAACCAUUGCAAACCUAGCUAGACCACAGCCUGUAAGCCACUGUAAUAAAUCUGCUUUAAAUACAUAAUUAACUAAUAUAAUUGUUUAAUAUGUUAUAUGAUCAGUUUUCUUUCUUAGUUUCUUUGCUUCUUUUCUUUCUUUAUUGAGACAGAGUUUCUCUAGACUAGGCUGUCCUCAAACUCAGAGAUUCACUGGCCUCUGCUUCCCAAAUACUGUGAUUAAAGGUUUGCGCCACCACCGCCCUGCAGUUCUCUUUGAGAGAACCUUAACACAUCCUUCCUCCUUCUAGUCUCUAAGGCCUGUAUGUUGACUCUCUUCUCAACUUCCAUAUCUUGGUGGGGAGGCUAUGGCUUUGCUCAGCUCUGCAUUGUCCUUAUUUGUUUGUUUGUUUUUCAAGAUGAGGUUUCUCUGUGUCACCUUGGCUGUCCUGGAACUUACUCUGCAGACCAGGCCUUGAACCCAAAAGAUUGGCUUGUCUCUGCCUCCCCCGUGCUGGGAUUAAAGGUGUGGGUUAUCAUCACCAGGCUAAAUUCCUAUUUAGUAUAAGAUGUGUUCAAUAGGUGCUUAGCCAGUGAGUAACUAGUGGGUAGAUCAGAGCACAGGUGACAAGGACAAAGUGCUUGGCAGAGUGGGGAACCUAGUGACAGCAUGAGUGAGUGGAGAAAGGUGACUCGGUGAACACAAAUUGAAGCCCUUAAUGGAGGGACACUGGUUUCCUGCCAAAGACUGUAUGAUGGCAGCGACCAAAUAGUCCAGAGAUGAGUCCAGAAUGGGGCAGCCUGAUGGACGGCAUUAGGAAAGAGUUGCCCCAUGUGUACUCCUGCUGAGUGUCCCUCUGUCCCUCCAUUGCUCCUACCUUCCUUCCCUCCCUCUCUUCCCUCUCUCCAGCCUACUGUCUGCCGCACUUCCAAGGAGACAGUAGUGUAAGAAGACCGAGGCAGGAAAUGCCUCGGAGGGCCAGAGCCAGGAAACCAAGCCAGUGACCGUCCCUUCUCCAAUCUUCUUGCCUCCCAUGACACCUCACCCCGAGCAGAUGCCUCCCCUGUCUUUCAGCCACAGAGCGGGAGUGUCUGUCAGGAGUUUGCAUAUUUAUUUGCUCUGUAACGUUUACAGGGAUUUAGUGUUUAAUAACUGUCACUCCAAUAUAUCUUUCCUUAAUCCCUUCAGAUCUGCCGCUGUAGCAAUUUUAAAUAUUUAUCAACACUGUUUGUGUGUUUGCUGGUUGGGCUGCAAUCUUCGUGUAAUUAAAGAUUUACAAGACUCAGUUUGAGAUUUGUGCAGGCUUGGUGAGAUUACAGGGGAAGGGAGGGGAGAUCUGGUCUUGGAGCCUGCUGUUUGGAAUUUGAGGCUGGAGUUGGCUUUCCUGGGAAAGGUUCCACAGGCCCUCUCCUUCACCGCUCUUCCACACAGGUAUUCAGUGCGGAUGGCAUGUGUGGUAAGAUGCAGGCAACGUGUCUGAAUUCUGCCUCCCUUCGGCGGGUGGCAGGCGGCAGAGCAGAAAAAGGCUACUGCUGAUUCGCAGUUUACAUUUUAGCAGCAGAGACAGACAAAAAAUAUGGGAAUGACUUGUUUGCUUGCUUUGUUUUUUUGAGAUGAGACAGAGUUUCUCUGUGUGGCCCUGUCUGUCCUAUAACUGUGUAGACCAAGCUGGCCUUAAACCCAAAGAUCUACCUGCCUUUCCCUCUCAAGUGGUGGGAAUAAAGGCAUGUGCCACCACCACACAGAGAGAAAGCUUAAAAAAAACCCAAAACAUCAUUUUAGAUCUUGAAAGAUAAAGGAAUGAAUUCCUUGGUUUUGUUUCUGUUGUUUGUUUUUGUAGUGCUGAGAAUGAAAGCCAGGGUCUUCACUCUAGGCAAGUCCUCUACCACUAGAGGACUUGUGCACAUCCCUACCCCAGAGGGGUUAAUAGAAACUGGCUAUGGAAAGCCUGGAAAUUUCUGAAAGAAUAAGGAGAGGUCAUAGGAUCGAAAGAAAGCCCGAAGGACAAAAAAAAAAAAAAAACAAAAAAAACAACAAAAAAAAAAACAAAACACGGGUGGGCACUGGGUUGUGUUGGGGUCUUUGUGACAGGACACAUCUGACAGACACUCUGUCAUUCUUUGCAGGGGAGGCCAGUGGGUCUUGACCUAAAGUUCCAUCAGGAUUAUAUUGGAGCAUGGUGACAGGCUUUUAAUCUCAGCACUCGAGAGGCAGAGACAGGUGGAUCUCUGUGAGUUACCGGUCACCCUGAACUAUAUAAAGAGCUCCAGGCCAGCCAGGGCUAUAUACAGCGAGACCCUGAGUCAAGACAAAACCAAAAAAGAUUGUACCCACUGGGGAGGAGUGGCCACCUGGUGAUUGAUGGUGAUGCCUCAGUGAUGGUGAUGUCAAAGUAGAAGCCAUGAGCAGAGACUGCUGAACACAGUUGGUUGGAAUCAGGCCUUUCCCAGCAUGGCUGUGCUGGACCCAGGCUGAGCAAGAAGCCACAAACACACACAAAACUAGGAGAAGAGAAUGGCCAGUGCAAAGGGCAAAGGGGUCACUAAGCUUUCAUGGGCCUCCUCUCACAGACUGGGAUUGCGAAAUGGAUUCUCUUCAGUGCUCCCUCUCCCAGUACCACAUAAACAGCCAGGAUGUCGUUUCUUCCAAAUGGAGUAGAGGGCUCGGAUCCAGAGGGCAGCCUCCCAGCGCUGAACUUCAGUUACGCUAACUUCAGGAGGCCAGCAGGGGAUAGGAAGCUAUGGUAGUUCUGUAGAUUCAGGAUUGGUGGGGUAGGAAGUCUUCAGAACAUGUAUAGUUCUGUGUUGAGUUGAGGACACAGAAACAGAUCCUUACAGUAGGCCAGUGACAGAGGCAGGUUGGACUGGGUUGAAAGUAUCUUCUCUAAAAUAGGUAUUUACUGAUGGAAAUUCCCCUACCCACAUUAAUGGUGUUCACCAUUUUGAUAUACUUUGUUUUUAGUAUUUCCCAGUUUUCCUUUACUUUGGACCACGGAUAGACUAAACCCCUGGUCACUGGGCAGAUCAUGAUCAUACAAUUCAAGCGGCCUAUCAUGGCUGACCUAGCUAUAAGUUCAGUCACUGAAGCAGUGCUACACAGAUUAGGUCAAGUGUUAAAGGAGUUGGUGGCCACAUAGAUGCUGAUGGUACCUGUGACUGAGAGGAGCAGGUCAUGGAAGCUGUGUGCACACCUGCUCCAGCGCUGCCGUGUUUCUCUCGUCUAUACCUGUGACUGCAUGGAGAAUGACGGAGGGGGAUGGAGAGGGCCUUGCUUAAUUCUUUAUGUCAUGUUGAUAUUCACUCAAGUGAACAACUCUAGUGUUGUUUCUCCUCAGGAGUAGCCACAGGGUAGAAAACAAAUCUUCCAGUUGACCAGUAUGGGUUGAUGAUUCAUUUAUUUAGAAAGACAUAGCCUGGGACAACGAUCUCACCAAUUCCUGGACAUUGUUGAUGAUUCAGCCAGGUGGCCAGACACUUGGGAGGGGUAAGAUUCAAGGCUUGCUGACAAGGAAGUUUAGGAAAAAGGUUUUGUGUGUGAGCCUCUAGGAGUGGGCACAGGAUUUGAGGAUAUUUGUAUUCACGGUCUGUAUCUACUGAAUUCCUGUUGGAAACUGGGUAGACAAGAUGACCCACUUCACAAAUGCUCAUUAAUCUUCAUCCCCAAUGACGCAGGGUUUGUUUAGUCUGCUGAGGCACAGUGGCCCUGUUGACACAGCUGGGGACGGAGGUGGCUGGGACUUAAGCACAAAGACUCACCAGGAUAUUGCCAUUUUAAAAUGUUCAAUAUUCUGAAGCAGAGCCUACCUGGAACCCAUGAUUUGAUGCCACCAGCCAACUGAUGAUUUGAGAUCCUGGCCAUGAGAGAGCUUCAAUUUGACCUUUCGAACAGACCUUUCUAGUGGAAAGAGGCUCACCAUCAACCAAUGACUUUUAUAGUGAUGGGGGUCCGUGGGCCUUUUUUAUUUGCUUGCUUCUUUGCCAAAGGUUAGAUUCCUGAUGAACUAGGAAGAGAGACCUUACUAAAGCAGAGUUAAGAUGUGCUGUAGUCAAGACUAAUGACUAAAAUUGAUCAAGAGUCCAGAGACAGGUCUGGAAAGAUGGCUCAGCAAUUAAGAGCACACUGGCUACUCUCCCAGAGGGCCUGGGUUCUAUUCCGAGCACACACAUGGUGAUUUGUAACCAGCUAAAACUAGUAACUCCAUCUCCAGUGGAUUCAGCAGCCUCUUCUGUCUUGCAUGGGCACCAGGCACAUAUACGGUGCACAGAUAUACAUGCAGGCAAAAAGCCCCUACACAUUGGACAUUAUUUAAAAACAAAAAAGAGCCCAGAGACAACCUGUGAGUUGUAAACGAAUCAGGAGCAGUGGCCAGAGUGCAUGGAGAACCAUUCACUGCAUUCCUGCUUGGCACAGGGCUCAAGUGUUGCAGUGUGACGAGGUGUAUUGGGGACAGUGUGUAAACCAUGCUGGGGAGGAGAGUAGAAGGCAGGGAUGUUUCUCAUCGAGUCGGGAUCUUGUAUGUUCUCCACCACAGUGGUUCAUACAUUGAGUGGGAAAAGGAAAGGAAGGACUCAGUCUGGAUGUCCUUUGUCCUGGAAAGGACUUCCGAGAUUGUCUAGCCUGGCCCUAGCCAGGGUGGGCUCUCUUUGCUAGCAUUUCCCAGCUAGAAGCCACCAUAGCUGAGAGCUGUCAAGGCAUCUUGCUUUCUGUGCACAAACCUCAGAGCUGUCACACAUGUGGACCAGUGGUGAAGAGGAGCUUUAAGGACUUCUUAAGGUCACAGAAUUCAUAAACAACAGAGCCAGGAAUCAAGACCAGAAGACAUGGGCCCUGCAGCUUAAGUGCCGUCUCGACUGCUUGAGUACAUACUCCAACAGCGCCUGUCACCUCUCAGGAUCCCUGUGUUAGCUAGCUUUGUUAGAUAAUGUCCACACUGGGCUGAAAGGUGUCUCAGUGGUUAUCCAAUGACCCCAGUUCAGUCCUAGCACCUGGAUGAUGGAAAGAGAGAACUGACUCCCUAUGUUGUCCUCUGACCUUCACAUGUCCAUCACAGGCUUUCGCACAUGCACACACACAAAUGUAAUACAAACUUUUAGAGAGAAAACAUCCCCAUGUUGUUGAGUGGAAACCCACCUCCUUAAAACUCACAUACAGAGUUCUGUCAUCUGAGAACUCUUUACCUCUUUCUUCCACAUCUUUUUGGGUCUCACGGGCCACCAUACAUCCUCGUCCUACCUAGCCUCACCCUAUACUGAUGGAGCUCAAAUUCCCCAGACUGUGGCUCUCAGGCCAAGCAAGGUGAAGUCAGUGUGGUUUCAGGGUCAUUAUCUGUUGCCUAGCCACUGCAGUCAUUAAUGUCAUUUCACC
rnacentral:lncRNA from 1 species